GACGAACGCUGGCGGCGUGCUUAACACAUGCAAGUCGAGCGGAAAGACGAGGAUCUUGCUCCACUCACGUUAGCGGCGGACGGGUGAGUCACAAGUAAAUAACCCACCUAUAUGAGUUGAAUAACGUAGAGAAAGGGGAACUAAUAACAGGAAAUAUAUUUAACCGGAUGGUGUUGUAGUGAUAGACGGGUUUGGUGUCGCUUAUAGGUGGAUCCGCGCCGCAUUGGCGAGUUGGUGAGGUAACGGCUUGCCGAGGAAACGGUGGGUAGCCGAGGUGAGAGGGUGAUGGCCCACAGUGGAACUGAGCCACGGUCCUGGGACCUAGGGGAGGCCGCGGUAGCGACGCGUGCGCAAUGGGCGGAAGCUUGACGGAGCGGUGCCACGUGGGUGAUGAAGGGCCUCGGGUCGGAAGACUGUGUUAUUGUGGAAGAACGAAUGUGCUCGUGACUAAGCUUGUUUUGACGGUACUGAGUAAAGAAGCACCGGCUAACUACGUG
rnacentral:rRNA from 1 species